CCCAUGAAAACCCAGCUCCUUGGCCCCACAGCGCGGGCGCCCAUGUCUGCUUCUGGCGCGGCAGCGGCGGCUGUGGCUGCUGGGGGCACCAGGGCGGGGCCGGAGCCCGGUGCGGGGUCCCGGGUGGGCGCGGCGGCGGUAGCGGCCAUACCGUGCAAGAGUGCCUAGGGGCUGCAGGAGGAGCUGGAGGCGCGCGGCGGCGCGUCACUGCUGCUGCUAGACUGCCGGCUGCAGGAGCUCUUCAAGUCAUGGCACAUAGAGAUGGCCAUCAACCUGGCCAGCCUGGGCCUCAUGCUGAGCCGCCUGCACAAGGGCAACCUGCCCAUCCGCUCCAUCAUCCCCAACCACAUUGACAAGGAGCGCUUCGCCAAGCGCUGCAAGGCGGCCACCGUGCUGCUGUACAACGAGGCCAUGGCCGAGUGGCAGCAGGAGCCCGGCGUCCCUGCCUCGGUGCUCGGCCUGCUACUGAAGAAGCUACGGGACGAUGGCUGCCAGGCCUACUACCUCCAAGGUGGUUUCAACAAGUUCCAGAUCGAGUACUCUGAACACUGCGAGACCAACGUGGAUAGCUCGUCCUCGCCCAGCGGCUCACCGCCCACCUCAGUCCUGGGCCUGGGGGGCCUGCGCAUCAGUUCUGACUGCUCGGAUGGUGAGUCGGACCGAGAGCUGCCCAGCAGUGCCACUGAGUCAGAUGACAGCCCCGUGCCAUCCAGCCAACUGGCCUUUCCCGUCCAGAUCUUGCCUUACCUCUACCUCGGUUGCGCCAAGGACUCUAUCAACCUGGACGUGCUCGGCAAGUACGGCAUCAAGUACAUCCUCAAUGUCACGCCCAACCUUACCAACGCCUUCGAGAACAGUGGCGAGUUCACCUACAAGCAGAUCCCCAUCUCGGACCACUGGAGCCAGAACCUUUCCCAGUUUUUCCCCCGAGGCCAUCAGCUUCAUUGACGAGGCCCGCUCCAAGAAGUGUGGGGUCCUGGUGCACUGCCUGGCAGGCAUCAGCCGCUCUGUGAAGGUCAUCGUGGCUUACCUGAUGCAGAAGAUGAACCUGUCGCUCAAUGACGCCUACGACUUUUUCAAGAGGAAAAAGUCCAAUAUUUCACCCAACUUCAACUUCAUGGGGCAGCUGCUGGACUUCGAGCGGACGCUGGGGCUGAGCAGCCCGUGCGACAACCACACCCCCAGUGAGCAGCUCUACUUCUCCACACCCACCAACCACAACCUGUUCCGGCUCAACACCCUGGAGUCCACAUGAGGCUGGGAGCCAGGGGGCCAGUCCUCCACGGGGCA